AUAUAUUGCUAGGGGUGCCUUUAAAGGCUGAGAGGGAUUGAAAAAUCCUAACUCUUAAAACCUGAUGUGGAUAGUGCCAUCGUAGGGAAGCAAAGUUACUUUAAU
rnacentral:ncRNA from 2 species